rnacentral:rRNA from 1 species
GACGAACGCUGGCGGCGUGCUUAACACAUGCAAGUCGAGCGGUAAGGCCCUUUCGGGGGUACGACGAGCGGCGAACGGGUGAGUAACACGUGGGCGACCUGCCCUCAGCUCUGGGAUAAGCCUGGGAAACUAGGGUCUAAUACCGGAUAUGACUCCAUGACGCAUGUUGUGGGGUGGAAAGCCUUGUGCGGCUGAGGAUGGGCCCGCGGCCUAUCAGCUUGUUGGUGGGGUGAUGGCCUACCAAGGCGACGACGGGUAGCCGGCCUGAGAGGGCGACCGGCCACACUGGGACUGAGACACGGCCCAGACUCCUACGGGAGGGCAGCAGUGGGGAAUCUUGCGCAAUGGGCGAAAGCCUGACGCAGCGACGCCGCGUGAGGGAUGACGGCCU